rnacentral:rRNA from 1 species
AACGAACGCUGGCGGUAUGCCUAACACAUGCAAGUCGAACGAGACCUUCGGGUCCAGUGGCGCACGGGUGGGUAACGCGAGGGGAUCUGCCCUUGGGUUCGGAAGAACUCAGAGAAAUUCGAGCUAAUAGCGGAUGAUGACGAAAGUCCAAAGAGUUAACGCGCAAGGAUGAGCCAGCGUAAGAUUAGCUUGUUGGUGGGGUAAUGGCCCACCAAGGGGACGAUCUUUAGCUGGGCUGAGAGGAUGAGCAGCCACACUGGGACUGAGAAGCGGCCCAGACUCCUACGGGAUGCAGGAGUGGGGAAUAUUGGACAAUGGGCGAAAGCCUGAUCCAGCAAUGCCGCGUGAGUGAUGAAGGCCUUAGGGUUUUAAAGCUCUUUUACCAGGGGUGAUAAUGACAGUACCUGGAGAAUAAGCUCCGGCUAACUCCGUGCCAGCAGCCGCCGUAAUAC